GAUGAACGCUGGCGGCGUGCUUAAUACAUGCAAGUCGAACGAAGUCAGUAGCAAUAUUGGCUGAGUGGCGAACGGGUGAGUAACGCGUUGGUGACCUGCCCCGAAGAGAGGGAUAACAGUUCGAAAGGAUUGCUAAUACCCCAUGUGGUCAUUUGGAUUAGAUGCCUUAUGACUAAACGGAUUUAUUCGCUUCGGGAGGGGCCUGCGUCCCAUCAGCUAGUUGGUAGGGUAAUGGCCUACCAAGGCGAUGACGGGUAGGGGACCUGAGAGGGUGGCCCCCCACAAUGGAACUGAAACACGGUCCAUACACCUACGGGUGGCAG
rnacentral:rRNA from 1 species